ACGGUCAGCACGGACUUAGAGAAGCGGCUCGACGAGGUUUCGUUGCCGUUCCUAGUCCGGCACAGAGGAGAGGACAGAGUGACAGACAAGGCGGUCAGCCAGCUCCUGUACGAGGUGGCUUCAAGCGAGGACAAGACGUUCAAGUUGUACUCCGGGAUGUGGCACGGCCUCCUCUACGAGGAGCUGCCCAGCAACAUCGACAUCAUGUUCGCCGACAUCAUCGGAUGGAUCGACGAGCGGACCGCUCUUGGAAGCUCGAGUAUAGAGAGAGCAGAAAAGUGCAGAGGACGACGGCACCGUGAAGGCCAAAUAAUGGGGGAAGGGAGAGGAGAAUUAUUUGAUUAUACAUGAAGAGAGAACAGAGAGUUCUUUGCUCAUCCUUGUCCUCCAUGAUUGGGUUCAAGCGAUAGUGAUAUUUGAGCGAUCAUAGUGUGUAGUUUGCUUUCCGAAUUGUAUUUACUUUAUGUUUUAUACGUAAA